rnacentral:lncRNA from 1 species
UACUUUUACCAAUAUCAGUUGUAAUAGAAAUACGAUUAGGUAUAUGAGUAAAUAAAUAGCGAAAAUAGUGUUCAUAUUCAUGCUUGAAUUUAUAAAUAUCGGCCUUAAUUGUUGCACGAAGCCAACCUUUAUAAGUAGGAUUAAAGACUCUUCUAAUAUAAUGAAUCCAAUUAGGAUUAGAAGAAAAAGUAUAAGGCAAGCACAUAACAGUAAUCAUUUUCGCUAAUUCUUCACGAUCCUUAUUUGGAUCGUAAUAUAAAAUACCUCCGGUGACAAUGUUNNN